GGAAGCCGGUGGGAAUCCGGCACGGUCGCGCCACUGUGAAACCCCAACCUCGGCAGGCAGCCGAGGCCGGGGGUAAGUCAGAC
rnacentral:ncRNA from 2 species